AGUUUGAUCCUGGCUCAGGGUGAACGCUGGCGGCAGGCCUAACACAUGCAAGUCGAACGGCAGCACAGUGGAGCUUGCUCCAUGGGUGGCGAGUGGCGGACGGGUGAGGAAUACAUCGGAAUCUGCCCAGUCGUGGGGGAUAACAUAGGGAAACUUAUGCUAAUACCGCAUACGACCUACGGGUGAAAGCGGGGGAUCGCAAGACCUCGCGCGAUUGGAUGAGCCGAUGUCCGAUUAGCUAGUUGGCGGGGUAAUGGCCCACCAAGGCGACGAUCGGUAGCUGGUCUGAGAGGAUGAUCAGCCACACUGGAACUGAGACACGGUCCAGACUCCUACGGGAGGCAGCAGUGGGGAAUAUUGGACAAUGGGCGCAAGCCUGAUCCAGCCAUGCCGCGUGGGUGAAGAAGGCCUUCGGGUUGUAAAGCCCUUUUGUCCGGAAAGAAACGCCUCGGAUUAAUACUCUGGGGUAAUGACGGUACCGGAAGAAUAGGCACCGGCUAACUUCGUG
rnacentral:rRNA from 1 species